CGGCGGACGGGUGAGUAACGCGUAGGCAACCUGCCCUGUACAGGGGGAUAGCCACCCGAAAAGGUGAUUAAUACCCCAUAACGCAAGAGAUACACAUGUAUCACUUGUCAAAGAUUUAUCGGUAUAGGAUGGGCCUGCGUCUGAUUAGCUAGUUGGUAGGGUAACGGCUUACCAAGGCAACGAUCAGUAGCCGACUUGAGAGGGUGAUCGGCCACAUUGGAACUGAGACACGGUCCAA
rnacentral:rRNA from 1 species